AUCCUUCAGGUUCAUUCAAUAUGAUGAGUGGGUUGGCUCGCGCCUGCGUGAGAGGUGCCGCCCUAUUUCUUGUUACGCUCAGGCACGUGACCCUUCUGAUU